GUUUGGCCUAGAGAAGGUUGAGAGGUUUAAAAACACAUUUAAUUAUUUACAGUUGUCAAAUUUUAAUUAAUCUUCAAAACUUUCAACAACGGAUCUCUUGGUUCUCGCAUCGAUGAAGAACGCAGCGAAAUGCGAUAAGUAAUAUGAAUUGCAGAUUUUCGUGAAUCAUCGAAUCUUUGAACGCACAUUGCGCCCUCUGGUAUUCCAGAGGGCAUGCCUGUUUGAGCGUCAUUUCUCUCUCACGGUUUGGUAUUGAGUAGUGGACUGGCGCUGCAUGGGUAGUACUGGAUAGUGCUGUCGCCUCUGUAUUAGGUUUAUAUCGUUGAAUGGUGUGGCGGGAUAUUUCUGGUAUUGUAGCCCGGCCUUACAA
rnacentral:rRNA from 1 species